UCCGGUUUGUCACCGGCAGUCACCUUAGAGUGCCCAACUUAAUGCUGGCAACUAAGAUUAAGGGUUGCGCUCGUUGCGGGACUUAACCCAACAUCUCACGACACGAGCUGACGACAACCAUGCACCACCUGUCUCCCCUGCUCCGAAAAGCACGCAUAUCUCUACACGCUUCAGGAGGAUGUCAAGCCCUGGUAAGGUCCUUCGCGUUGCUUCGAAUUAAACCACAUGCUCCACUGCUUGUGCGGGCCCCCGUCAAUUCCUUUGAGUUUCAACCUUGCGGCCGUACUCCCCAGGCGGAGUGCUUAUUGUGUUGACUUCAGCACCAUGGGUAUCGAAACCCUUGACACCUAGCACUCAUCGUUUACGGCGUGGACUAC
rnacentral:misc_RNA from 1 species